AACAGGACAAGAAGCUCACAGCUCAGAGAAGGUUUUCUUGCUUCAGCCUAAAUCAGUGAAAUAAGAAGUCUUAUCCACAAUGAAGAUCUACUUCUUGUCUCUUCUGUUGGUGGCGGUAGCCUGCUAUUUCCACGUCGAGGCAUUGCCAUCUCCCGAACCAGCAGACGUAGCCAAAGUGCCCUCGUCCGUGGCCGACCCAGCUUCAACGAAAAUUACCAUCGAUCCAAACCGAUGCUGCAAGUGCUCUAGUGCUCUAAA